UGUAGUAUUUGUCGACUGUGAGACCUCACAGGAGACGAUAGGCUGAAGAACUAACGAGAACGCCUAUUCCAGGAGGACUAAAGUUACCAGUUGUUCAGCGGACGACCCCAAGUCGUUCCUACACAAGCUACUGUCUAAACCCGUCGUCAGGUGACAGAAAGCCUUCAUAAUAGACAGGAAGAUCCAAGUGGUAGAUUAUCUUACGUGGAUACAGAGGUGGAGUGUGAGAGGAAGAGAGAGAGAGAGAGAGGGAGAGAGGUAGAGAAAUUAAGUUAUAGGAGAGAAAUUAGGAAUUUUUUUUGUUGAGGCGCGGCGCGUUGGGGCCUGAACUGUGACAUACUUAGUGUGGAGGUGGUAGCCAGUGUGAGUGUGUGUGGUGUCGCCGCAGUGGUCAGGCCAACUCUAGCCUAUACACAGUGGUGUAUAUGUGUGUAUGUGUGUGUUUUGGUGUUUGUACAGUGAGAGGCUUUGCAGUGGCGGGUGUGGGUAGUGACGCAGUGAGUUAUACAAGCUUGGCUUAGCCAUACCAAGCAGCCCCAUCAAGUGUUCAAGAUGCUGUGUCUUCAUCUGCGUACCUAAGAUGGCAAGUCAACGGUCUGGCGUUCUCCUUCACUGCUGUUCCUCCACCGUCACCUUGUGGGUACAACGGUGUGGCUUCAGCUCUCGGUCCACGAUGGGCAUUCCUUGGCGUCUACGCCGCCUUCCGCAGUAGCUGUAACCUUUGAGAAUUACAGAAGGAAGUCCACUGGGUCGACAGAUCUCCUGAGAGUCCUGGCGGGGCUGUAGAUGAUCAUCCCCAAGCUUGUGUACAGCCUCAUCACUCCGGACUCAUCAUGAGAGCAUGAUGCCCGGAGAGACAGUGGAAGUUACCGCCGCUGGGGGCCCCUCGCCACACCUGAAGCCUCCCCAGCAGAUGAACGGCUGCCCCGCCAUACCCAGACUCCACACCUGCCCCGGGUAUGACAGGUGUAGUGCCCCUACGUCAGGACGUGCCCAGAACCCCCUCGGCUGCCACGCCGACAGGGACCUCAGGUGGGGCAACGGUGGUGUCGGUGUCACCUGUAAUGGGGUGACAGGAUUUAAUUUCGUGACGGAGAAUUUCUGCACCAAUGGUGUGGAAGAUUAUCACGGCGACGGGUCGGCGCGGCGCCUACCAGUGCUGCAGGCGGGAGAAAAAUACCAGAGUUACCCCAGCAGCGGCGCCAGUUUUCCCUCAAUGUCUUCCAGCGUUGAAGGGACGGUAUGGGAGGGUGAGGCCGGGGCGCGGGAGGGAAGGGUAGUGGAAGGGCUGGAGGCGGGUGCCGGCGGCGCCUCCGUCAGUGUAACCAGUGAAGAGACUCUCGUAACUUCCUCCUUUGAGAGCUCGACGAGCGAGGCCUCUGAUAGCGAGGUUUCCCUCCCUGAACACCAGAGGAGCCGCCUGGAGGAUCAGACGAGCCGCCUGGAGGAUCAGAGGAGCCCCCUGGAGGAUCAGAGGAGCCGCCUGGAGGAUCAGACGAGCCGCCUGGAGGAUCAGAGGAGCCUCCUGGAGGAUCAGAGGAGCCGCCUGGAGGAUCAGAGGAGCCCCCUGGAGGAUCAGAGGAGCCGCCUGGAGGAUCAGAGGAGCCGCCUGGAGGAUCAGAGGAGCCUCCUGGAGGAUCCCUGCUUGCUCCCGGCGUCGACCUGGGGUGACGACACCCGCCUCUCCGACACACAACUGUUCCAGGAGGAAUAUUACACGGACGAGCUGGAAUGCCUCGAUCACAGUCAAUACAACCUGCAUGGCGCCACAUUUAACCUUAAAGAAAGUUCCCAAGUGCACAUCGGACCGGUUUACGGCCCGAUGCCAAGUCCGAUACCCGGUGUGGACGUGACGCCGACGCCAGGCGACGCCUUGGACCAACUGUGGGUGGAAAAGUCCCCUAAGAAAGGCCCCGGGACGCUCAAGGUCAACCUGGUGGCCCCGGCCGUGCAACAGUUGCAGGCGGACCACCGUCAACACAGCCCGCUGCUGCAGACACAGUCAGCGCCGGAGAAGACCCUGACGCCCCCGGUGGUGGGGGGGCGGCCUGGGGUGCGGGUGCUGACCCAACAACCCCUCCUCAACCCCCCGCCCACCCCACAGACGCCCCUCGGCACCUUCACUAUCGCCGGCGACGGCAGCGUCGUCAUCGGCACUCAAAUUAUAUACAAUAAUCCCAGCUGCAAAGAGCACCCGCUUGUCGCCACCUCCCCGCCGCACCUGGCUAGCACCGUCCCAACCACGACCAGUCAUGAGAGUCAAGACAAGCUGGAGUCGCUGCUGGCGGAGGUGCGUGACAAGCUGUCGACGGUCUACAUCCGUCAGACGAAGACGUCGUUCCUGCCCUGGCUCAAGGGUCAUCAGGUCAUCCCCAUGACGGAGUUCUACACCGAGUCACGCAUCCUGGCCGUCGACAAGCAGGGACGACAGACCAGUCAGUGUGUCAACCUCGUGAGGGACUUGGUUCAUGAGGAGGAGACGCGGUUCCUGGUGGAGGGGGAGCCGGGGAUGGGGAAGACGCUCCUGGCCCUCAAGCUGGCCAUUGACUGGGCCAAGAAGAUCAGCCUUCAGGAGUUCAAGUUCGUGUUCCUGAUCUUCCUGCGGGACUUCAAGGGCAGCUUGGAGCAGUACGUCAAGGAGGAGCUCCUCCCGUCUCACUUUGAGGACAAGCUGAAGCAGGUGUGGGAGUACUGCAAGAAGCACGAGGAGCAGGUCCUCUUCAUCCUCGACGGCUACGACGAGCUGGAGAGAGCGGACGCCGGAGAGGUCCAGAAGCUGUUGAGUAACCGCGACUUCCAGAACAGCAAGGUGGUGGUGACGGCGCGUCCAGACGUCCUGAAGACCAUUGCCCAGAGGACCAUCGUUAAGGGCUUCAGCGAGGCGCAGAUGUUUGAGUUCGUGACUAAGUACUUCAAGCUGGUGAACGAGGAGGAGUGUGGCCGGAACCUCAAGAGGAUUAUAGAGAAGGACUAUAAGUACAGGAAGCUGGCCAAGCGUCCGCUGUUUUGCGUGCUGUUGUGUAUGUUGUAUGGCUCAGACGGGGUGGCCAAGCUCCCGGAGAAGCUCACGGAUAUGAUGUUCAAAAUUAUGUUGUGUCUCAUCAAGUGGAAUAAGAAAGGUGGAAAUGUGGAUGAGAACACUGAAGACUUCCCCGCCGAGUAUGAGGAACUGUUUCUCAGCUUCGGGAAGCUGUGUUUGCAAGCGUUAAAGACGGAAAAGACGCGCUUUAGCGAGAAAGAGAUUAAGGGCAUUGAGAACUACUCAAAAUUAUUACAUUUAGGAUUCUUGUCUAACGAUAGUGAAAAUGACGUUCUCGGUUACAAAAAGUUCUACAAACCGGUUCACAAGAUCUUCCUGGAGUACCUGGCGGGUCUGUACAUGGCCAGCCACAUAGAGAGGGACAGGAGUGACUGUCGCGAGUGUCGAGAGUUCUCCAAGGUGUACCGCCACGAGCACGUCCUCAAGUUCGUGGUGGGCAUCCUGGGCAAGAAGGCCCACCUGGCCCUUGACGGCAGGAAGCACCAGGUGUUCCUGCAGAUGAAGGACCAGGAGCUACUGAUGCUACUGCGGGAGACGGAACCCACCAGAGAAAACUGUCGCGCCGUGGCCAAGCUUCUGGACCGCCGCAAUGCCAUCGUCUACACCAGCGAAGUCGACUUCGAGGGCUGGAGCUCCAUCCUCGCUCAAAAUUUCAAGAAACUCAAUUCGUUGGAGAUUGUGUGGCGGAUUAAGAGCACGAACCCUGACCAGGAGAGCUCCUUCAACGAGGCGACGCCCCAGCUCUACGCCGCCUUCUUCAGCGCCCUCAGGUCCAACACAAGCAUCACUAAAAUCAGCAUAAGAGCCACGCAAGAUGGAGAGCCGUUCUCCGACGAGAAGAUCGAACUCUUUUUCUCCCACCUGCAAGGUAUACUGGUUAAGGAGAACCUCCGCGAGCUCGAGAUCAAGGAACUCAAGAUGAAGGUUUCCACCCACCUUAGGAAGGCCAUUGAAGGUGCGACAUGCCACAUGGAGAAGAAGGCCAUGGAGGGGCUGGAGAUCCUGCGGCUGGACAUGGAGAUGCUGGACGACGACCUGUCGGUCCUGUGCAAGAGACUGAGCCGCUGUGCGCCCAACCUGUCGGAGCUGCAGCUGACGGGACUGGUCCACGGCGCCGCGGGGUUCGACAGCCUGGUGGACCUGCUCAAGCAUAAUAAGAAUCUCCAUAAGCUGUGUAUCUCCAUGAACAAGGCCAAGCUGAUGGACCAGAGUCGACUGUUCAUGACCAAACUGGCUCUGACACCCUCCGACAUGCACACCGGCCAGGUCCAGAUGAAGAGCAACGCCUCUAAGAACAGCCGGGACGCCUACAUUGGACAGGACCCGGAGCAGCGCAGUCCUCGGCCUGGAAGGAUGCUGGACCCGACCAGAGAGUUACACUACCUGUUCCAGGACCCGCUUCACAGUGGCGCCAGGCACAAGUACGAGGCCAGGGGGUACUUCUUUAUUAAUGGAGUAGGGGAGACUAGGCUGCCACUGCCGCUGUGUCUGGGCGGGUGUCAGCACCAGUCAAUGUUCCACACGCUGUUCUCCGCCCUGCCUGACACCAGCGUCCGUAGUCUCGCCCUCGACUACCCUUGUCUCUACCUCAACACCGCCGACCUUGUCUGCCUCGGCGACGCCAUCCGCAGGGCCAGGAACCUCUCCUCCCUCAGGCUACUCGGGCUCAAGAAGGCGGAGGAUUAUAUGCCAGUGUUGCUUGGUCUGGGACAGUCACAGUCGCUGACGACGGUGAAGUUGGACUCGCACAACGUGGUCCUCACCGACACGGCCUUCCAGCUGGCCUGCACCGCCCUCAGGAACAACACCACCCUGCGCUCUCUCUCCCUCGCUCACUGGGAGUUCAACCUCCAGGAAAAGGCCCUGUCCGUCGCCUACUUCAAGGACCUCCUUAGCUCGUGGAAGGUGCUGGACCUGAACCUAAGCAGCUGUAUAGUUGACGUAGGGGUGGGGAUGCCCACCUCCCCUACGCUCUUCCCCCCCAUCCUCCUCCCCAUCAACGGCCCCAUCCAGCACUGGUCCUCUAUCAAGACCUUGAGGCUCUCAGAGGUCAAGCUGAAGGAACAACCCGGGUUUAUCCGACGGAGUCACCUCCUGCUUCCUCUCCUUAGGAACUGUCCAAAUCUGACGAGUCUGGACCUGUCGUCGUCCCACACUCAGGCCACCACCCUGGACGACAACGCCGCCUGCAAGUUUUUCGAGUUGCUGGGAUCCAACUUCAGGAAACUUAGAGAACUCAACUUGGGCAACUGGGAGUUCAGGUUCGAUCAGUACGAGAAGACCUGCGCUCAGAUCGGCAACACGGUGCGCUCGUGCGGAGAGCUGCGCAUGCUAAUGCUGGACAAAGUGUGCGAAGUGCGGUCAGGAUUGUCGCACCUGCCGCCCUGUCGCACCACCUUCCUGCACCAGCUUGUCAGCAACCUGCCCCGCCUGGCCGAGCUCUCUCUCUGCUACUACCGCGUAGAUAACGAGGAACUAGACCGCGACACCGCCACGCGGCUCGGCGCCUGCUUCCACGACCACUGGGCCUCCGGCAGCAAAUUUAAGCUCAAGUUCUUCGGUCUGUCGGCCGGGGUGGAGACGGCGCUACACGAGGCCCUCAAGAAGGAAGGCGUGUCUGUAGUAGUGAGCCAAGGUUACCCUCUUGUCUUCACCGUCAAAAGGGGAUAUUUCUUGAGGACGUGAAAAUUUCGGGCAGCAGUUUCGUACCGCGCUCACUAAGAGUGUUGAAUUUUUCUUCACGAUGCCUGCAAUUAAUUUUUUUAUUUUUAUGAGGAUAAUUUCUUUAUAUGCAAAUUGUUUUUGCCUUUUCAAUCUUGAAAGAAAAAUUCAAUGCUCACAGUAAGCAGGGUUCAAAACUGCCGCCCGAACUUCGCAGUCCAAGGUGUCCCCUUUGUUGUGCAGGCGGGGCCCUGGUCCCACUGAGACUUGUGUCCGUACUCGACCCCCACACAUGUGACAGUCCACACUCAACCCCCACACAUGUGAGAGUCCGUACUCGACCCCCACACAUGUGAGAGUCCGUACUCGACCCCCACACAUGUGAGAGUCCGUACUCAACCCCCACACAUGUGAGAGCCCACACUCAACCCCCACACAUGUGAGAGCCCACACUCAACCCCCACACAUGUGAGAGUCCACACUCAACCCCCACACAUGUGAGAGCCCACACUCAACCCCCACACAUGUGAGAGUCCACACUCAACCCCCACACAUGUGAGAGUCCACACUCAACCCCCACACAUGUGAGAGUCCACACUCAACCCCCACACAUGUGAGAGUCCACACUCAACCCCACACAUGUGAGAGUCCACACUCAACCCCACACAUGUGAGAGUCCACACUCAACCCCCACACAUGUGAGAGUCCACACUCAGCCCCCACACACAUGAGAGCCCAGGUAUGUCAGUGUCGCACCUUGCUGAAGAAUACUCUGUUGACUUCCACAGACCCUCACAGAAGCUAGAAAAAAAGGUCUAGAUUAGUCAGUGAAAAACCUCACUGUACUUCGCUGACAUUCACAGUCACACACACACAGGAGACAACAGUCUCGAGCAGUCAGUGUUCAACCGCAGUGAAAACUUGCUUGUUCCAGGUGAACAGUGUUCUCACAGGUGAACAGUGUUCUCACAGAUGGACGUGAUCACACAGGCUCACACGAGCGAGUCAGGAUAAACUCAAUACUCCGUUAACAGUCUACUGAAACAGUCAAGUUAAACCAGUUUUUAGCCUGACUGUUGAAGCUCACAGACAUUUACAAGUGACUGGAUGAACAGCUUCACAGAACACUAUAUUUGUUCAAUGGAUCUACACAGUAAAGAACAAUGAACUUAAAUUUUCGUAACCUGAAACUUCAGCUUUAGUACGAAGACAUAUAUAUAUAUAUAUAUAUAUAUAUAUAUAUAUAUAUAUAUAUAUAUAUAUAUAUAUAUAUA